UACGUAGGGUGCAAGCGUUAAUCGGAAUUACUGGGCGUAAAGCGUGCGCAGGCGGUGAUGUAAGACAGAUGUGAAAUCCCCGGGCUUAACCUGGGAACUGCGUUUCUAACUGGCAGGCUUGAGUGUGGCAGAGGGGGGUGGAAUUCCACGUGUAGCAGUGAAAUGCGUAGAGAUGUGGAGGAACACCGAUGGCGAAGGCAGCCCCCUGGGCUAACACUGACGCUCAUGCACGAAAGCGUGGGGAGCAAACAGG
rnacentral:rRNA from 1 species